rnacentral:rRNA from 1 species
AACCAGCUCCUCGAGUGGUGGGGAUGAUUAUUUGGCCUAAAGCGUCCGUAGCCUGCUCGGUAAGUCCUCCGUCAAAUCCAACGAUCUAAUCGUUGGGCUGCGGGGGAUACUGCAGAGCUAGGGGGCGGGAGAAGCCGACGGUACUUCUGGGGUAGGGGUGAAAUCCUAUAAUCCCGGGAGGACCACCAGUGGCGAAGGCUGUCGACUAGAACGCGCUCGACGGUGAGGGACGAAAGCUGGGGGAGCGAACUGGAUUAGAUACCCGGGUAGUCCCAGCUGUAAACGAUGCGGGCUAGGUGUUGGGGUGGCUACGUGCCACUUCAGUGCCGCAGGGAAGCCAUUAAGCCCGCCGCCUGGGGAGUACGGCCGCAAGGCUGAGACUUAAAGGAAUUGGCGGGGGAGCACCACAAGGCGUGAAGCUUGCGGUUC